UACAGAGGGUGCAAGCGUUGUUCGGAAUUAUUGGGCGUAAAGGGCGCGUAGGCGGUGCCACAAGUCACCUGUGAAAUCUCCGGGCUUAACUCGGAGCCUGCAGGCGAAACUGUGGUGCUGGAGUGUGGGAGAGGUGCGUGGAACUGCGAGUGUAGAGGUGAAAUUCGUAGAUAUUCGCAAGAACACCAGUGGCGAAGGCGGCUCACUGGCCCGAUACUGACGCUGAAUACCGAAAGCUAGGGGAGCAAACGGG
rnacentral:rRNA from 1 species